rnacentral:rRNA from 1 species
UACGUAGGAUGCAAGCGUUGUCCGGAUUUACUGGGCGUAAAGCGCGCGCAGGCGGCAGUGUAAGUAAGGUGUGAAAUCUCCCUGCUCAACGGGGAGGGUGCACUUUAGACUACACAGCUAGAGGUCGGUAGAGGGGGGUGGAAUUGCUGGUGUAGCGGUGAAAUGCGUAGAGAUCAGCAGGAACACCCGUGGCGAAGGCGGCUGCCUGGACCUCUGCUGACGCUGAGGCGCGAAAGCGUGGGGAGCAAACAGG